CACUGGACUGAGACACGGUCCAGACUCCUACGGGAGGCAGCAGUGGGGAAUAUUGCACAAUGGGCGCAAGCCUGAUGCAGCCAUGCCGCGUGUGUGAAGAAGGCCUUCGGGUUGUAAAGCACUUUCAGUCGUGAGGAAGGUAGUGUAGUUAAUAGCUGCAUUAUUUGACGUUAGCGACAGAAGAAGCACCGGCUAACUCCGUGCCAGCAGCCGCGGUAAUACGGAGGGUGCGAGCGUUAAUCGGAAUUACUGGGCGUAAAGCGCAUGCAGGUGGUUUGUUAAGUCAGAUGUGAAAGCCCGGGGCUCAACCUCGGAAUWGCAUUUGAAACUGGCAGACUAGAGUACUGUAGAGGGGGGUAGAAUUUCAGGUGUAGCGGUGAAAUGCGUAGAGAUCUGAAGGAAUACCGGUGGCGAAGGCGGCCCCCUGGACAGAUACUGACACUCAGAUGCGAAAGCGUGGGGAGCAAACAGGAUUAGAUACCCUGGUAGUCCACGCCGUAAACGAUGUCUACUUGGAGGUUGUGGCCUUGAGCCGUGGCUUUCGGAGCUAACGCGUUAAGUAGACCGCCUGGGGAGUACGGUCGCAAGAUUAAAACUCAAAUGAAUUGACGGGGGCCCGCACAAGCGGUGGAGCAUGUGGUUUAAUUCGAUGCAACGCGAAGAACCUUACCUACUCUUGA
rnacentral:rRNA from 1 species